UUCCUAAUAAUUUCAGUCUGCAUCAGAUUUCAUUUCUUGAAAUUCUUCUAAUCUCCACUCAGCUUCGCACAAGAGAACUAGUAAAAUAGCCUUCUUGCUGGUUUUAAGGUUGGUUCUCAGUCUAAACUUCAGCCACUUUAACAAAUUUAGUUUUAAUUGUUCUUAAAAUACUGAUGCAACUUUGGUAACUGUGAUGAGUGAGUUUUUUAGGUGUCUGUACAGAUGUCUUGAACAACACCCAUAAAAAGGAAAAUUCCUGUUCUGACUAGCCUGUUGCAACUGAAUAGUAACAAAGAGAAAUAAUGCAAGAUUAUAGGAAUUUGCACUAAUUGCUUGCAUAAGUUUAUGUGAUUUUGAACAAUCCUUCUCAUUUUAAUCCUUGUUUAAAGACAGAACAUGCCCUGCCAAAGCACGUUUUGGUGGGUUUUUUUCUUUUCCUCAUCCUGUGAUCGAAUUGUUCCAUAAUUGCAGCUAUUUGUCUCUGAAACUCAAAUUAGAAGACCUAGAAAGAGAAGAAAUGUGGGAGAAGACAUGAAUAAAGCAGUGUGAUGUAUUCAGUGUUCAAGUCCCUGUGAAGGGUGAAGUCUGUACACCAAAACAACCCAAAGCUGCAUUGGAAGGAUACUGUAAGAGGGGAAAAUGUGGAAAAAUACUUCGUAUAUGUCUAUGAGAUUUGGGACUGAGGUUUUGUGCCUCAAACACAGGCAUGAUUAUAAUUUGAAAUGAGCUGCUGCUUCUGCUGGAUGUAUUUCUAUGUUAACUGCUGAAAGAUGGGUGCUUGCUUUUACAUUCACUGCAAGAGAACAGGAUGAGUGCUCUUACUGUGCGUGGCGGUCACCCACAAGUAUGGGAACCUACUCAG